UUUUCGUUUUUAUUUUGAUUUUUUUGGCUGUUUUUCAAUUAUUUCUUUAAUUUGCAGUUAAUUGUGAAGAUGGGUAGAUACGCAUAUGGUUGAAGAGAGGGGCGAUGAUCGUACUGCCAGCAUAAUCUAUCAUCGUGCUUGUUCGAAUUUCAACAAUUGCAUAAGAUGACUUGAGAUCCCCGAGUCAGAAAUUUUCAGAAGCUUUCGGUGAUUUGUGUCUUUUCAGAAGUUCUCAGAAUCGGAAAAUAAAGCACGUAUUUACUUUUGGAACAACAUAGGUACGAUGAAUGAAAACCAAAUUGUUGUUAGGCAUGAAUCAGAAGGUGGCAAGACUCCCACAACGGGUGACGAAUCACAAGAUGUUAGUACGAUUACAAAGACCAUUAAAGGCCGUGGUCCGUCAAAAGGUGUUAAAGUCGCUAAGCCUAUGUUCCUUGAGUAUAAUGUAUAUAAUGUCCCCGAUGGACAAUGGUCUCAUGAAUA